UUCUGUAAAACAGUGUUACGCAAUAUCUCUAGAAAAGCUAAUGAACUACGUUGGAAGUAUGACCUAUUCUCAGAGCGCUUUCCCCCUAGAGAAAUCAUGAAAGGAUUUACAACCAGCUCUGUAAGCCCAGACACAUGGUA